rnacentral:rRNA from 1 species
AUUGAACGCUGGCGGCAGGCCUAACACAUGCAAGUCGAACGAGUGGCGGACGGGUGAGUAAUGUCUGGGGAACUGCCUGAUGGAGGGGGAUAACUACUGGAAACGGUAGCUAAUAACGCAUACCAUAGGAGGGACCCAUAUGGGAUUAGCUAGUAGGUGGGGUAAAGGUUCACCUAGGCGACGAUCCCUAGCUGGUCUGAGAGGAUGACCAGCCACACUGGAACGGAGACACGGCCCAGACGCCUACGGGAGGCAGCAGUGGGGAAUAUUGCACAAUGGGCGCAAGCCUGAUGCAGCCAUGCCGCGUGUAUGAAGAAGGCCUUCGGGUUGUAAAGUACUUUCAGCGGGGAGGCGUUACCGACAGAAGAAGCACCGGCUAACUCCGUGCCAGCAGCCGCGGUAAUAC